AGAUAAACAAUAUAAAUUAGCUCCUUCUUUCAGGGGCCUGGCGCAAAUGACGUCUCUGUGAUAUCUUGGCGCCGUUCAGCAAGCCGCUGUCUUUAUAGCUAGAACGGCAAAUCUGAAAAGAAGAAAAUUGGCAAAACUAUCCAAUCCUUGUAUUGAUAAAAAAUAUGUUGACAGAGUGAAGCUUCAAGCGCAAGUACAAAACAAGUUCUCUUUCAAAUAUGCGGCGAAUGUGCUUCCUAACCUGAAAGACCUCCCUUCUAGAAAACACACCAAGCCUCGGGCAUCGUGUGUGGUUAAGAGGAGGCCUGGUGGGCUCACUCUCCAGUGUUCCUGCCUGUCUUAGAACGUGCCACCAGCAGCAGCACCUGAGCAUGGCACAGCGUGUGAGCCUUCUGGUCCUUCUCCUGGGAGUGCUGGCAUUUCAGAUGAAAGGGGUGCUUGGUUUGUCAGAUGAGAGCAGUGACAGCAGUCCUGGGCACCGAAAGAGCUACUACGUGGUUUGGAUGCUGCCAACUCAAAGCCUGAGGGCGCGACCACAGAACAUUGAUGGCAGUACGGUGCUGCGCUUGCUGGCUCUGUGGCCUUCCACUGUGGUCAGGGCGCCUGUCAGCACAAUGGCAUGCAUCCAGCCUCAGCCAGCACCCAUCAUCCCUAGGCCGAGUCCGUCCCCCCUGGCCCCUCCCUUGUUGGCAAGCACAGUUCCCAAAGGCCCUGUCCUCACCCCCUCUGGCCAGUCCAUGACAUCAGAGAGAAACAGAGAAGCCUCUGCACCUGGGAGCCUGGGGACCUGCUGCGGUAUGCCGGCCAGGUUUCCCCUGACACCCCAAGUCCUGGCUAUUCCAGGUCCCCCCACAAAGGGAGCACUUCACAGCGCCAGCUUCCCCACCUCCUCCCCAGUGAAGGAGCCCCGAGGAGAUGUGUAAGCUGGGAGAAGGACCAGACCCACAUCUGCCUGUGCUACUGGCUGUGUGUGGAAGCAACUUCCAAGGGAAGUGUUCAAAGCUCGGGUGGUCACAGUCAAUCACCCCGGUGAUGUAUCCUGUGAACCUAUUUUUAUUACAGGAUUUACCUUAUCAGCUCCUGUAGAAAUGAAGUUCUUCUAUAAGGAAGCCUCGCAGGACCAGGAAAGUGAUGCUGGCACAUAUGCUACAAUUUUAAGGCAAUUUCUCACUGUUACCUAAAAAAUAAAAGAGCAUAACCUCUAAACCA
ensembl:lncRNA